rnacentral:rRNA from 1 species
CACCUCUAGCAUUUCAAGUAUUAGAGGCAUUGCCUGCCCAGUGACUUAAGUUAAACGGCCGCGGUAUCCUGACCGUGCAAAGGUAGCAUAAUCACUUGUUCCUUAAUUAGGGACUUGUAUGAACGGCUGAACGAGGGUCCAACUGUCUCUUACUUUCAAUCAGUGAAAUUGACCUUCCAGUGAAGAGGCUGGAAUAUAAAAAUAAGACGAGAAGACCCUAUGGAGCUUAAAUUAAUAAAUUUAUCUAAAAUCUCACCACACCUAAUGGAACAAAAAUAAUACUUUAAAUUUAAAAUUUUGGUUGGGGUGACCUCGGAGAAUAAAAUAUCCUCCGAAAGAUUAUAACUUAGACCAACAAGUCAAUGUAACUCUAAUUCCAAUUGACCCAAAAAUAUUUGACCAACGGACCAAGUUACCCUAGGGAUAACAGCGCAAUCCUAUUUAAGAGUCCAUAUCGACAAUAGGGUUUACGACCUCGAUGUUGGAUCAGGACAUCCCAAUGGUGCAGAAACUAUUAAUGGUUCGUUUGUUCAACGAUUAAAGU